UUAUAGAGGUUCGCAUCCUCACGGCCCC
rnacentral:sRNA from 1 species